rnacentral:lncRNA from 1 species
AUGCAAUACGGUCUUUCUCUAAUACAAUACUCCUGACCACAUUGUUUGGUUUGAUAGUUUAUUCAUGUCUACUAUCCAAUGUGAUUCUCUUACUUAUAUGAUUACCUUAAAUGUGAUUUGGAACGACUUCCUAAAUCUUAUUCAUACUCUGACCAGAGAUUCUUAAUCAUAUUAUCAUAGAGUAUUCUCCCUUAAACAGUUUGAAGGUUAAAGAUCCCUUGUUGCGCAUUUGAAGGAAAAAUUGUGAAAAACAUGUUCAAUUGAGCAACAUCUAUAGCAUGCAAUUAACAAUUAAAAGGCGGAAUCAUGCUUGCAUGCACUCAAAAGCAAAACACUAACCAUGAAAUUUAAAGCCUAGUAGAUUGGUGAACCUUGACUCAACUUAAAACAACAUUUGUUAGUUGAGAAAUUAUACCUUUGUAGAUUCCUCUUUGCAUAAGCAAAGGCUAAUCACCCAAGGAGAGGGCCUUCAUUCCUUGCAUCUUAGAUCUAUGGAUUUGGAUGGAUGAAAUGGUUCUCCAAGUUCCCAAAAUUGAGAACCUCUAAGUCUCUUCACCAAGGUUAGAUUGGAGAAGAAAUGAGUGACCUUGGAGUAGUAGGAUUGCUAGCUAAACCCUCCAAGGAGGCCGGCCACUUUAGAGAGAAAGGAGAGCUUAUGUUCUCAUCCUUUCCCCAAAAGAAAACCCUAAAUCAAUUUUGGCUAUAAAGUCAUAUUUAUACCUUAAUUCAUUGGAGUGGCAAACUUGUAAAUAAGUCCAAAACUCACUCCAUCUCUCAAUGGCCGGCCUUAGGGUAUUAUUGGGCUAAUUGGGACUUUGUGAAUCAUUAUUCAUUAAGUUGUCAUACAACUUAAGUCAAUGGGCUUGACGUUCGAAGCCCUUUGGGCCUUAAGGUCCAAAACUAUCCCGAGGUCUUUAACGAACUUAUUCGUUUGAUUAAUUAACAUAUUAAUUAAUCCUUGCCAUAAAUAAUUAAACCAUUUAAUUAUUCUUACUCAUCUCCAUUGUUUCUUCAAUCUCCCCCUUACACGGUGUACGAUCCAUUAGGUUCCUUUUAGCGAAGCAGUGGGCGAUUAAAACCAUUUCAAAUCGAUUGUGAAUUGAAACUUACUUUGAAUUCUCCCUUUAGUGAUUAUACACGUUUAGGGCUUCCACAAACCAUGAGUGACACCUAGUAGCAUAUCAUGGUUACCCAAGCUAAUCCGAAGAGGUGGAGAACCUAUUCAGUUUAGGAUUACAAAUAAAAUACGGUCUUUCUCUAAUACAAUACUCUUGACCACAUUGUUU